UACAGAGACUGCAAGCGUUACUCGGAUUCACUGGGCGUAAAGGGAGCGCAGGCGGAUUGGUGUGUCAGGCGUGAAAUCCCGGGGCUCAACCCCGGGGCUGCGCCCGAAACUACCAAUCUAGAGACUUGGAGGGGUAAGCGGAAUUCUUGGUGGAGCAGUGAAAUGCGUAGAUAUCAAGAGGAACACCAACGGCGAAGGCAGCUUACUGGACAAGAUCUGACGCUCAGGCUCGAAAGCGUGGGGAGCAAAAGGG
rnacentral:ncRNA from 2 species